UCGUUCUAGCUAGCGACAGCGGUGGUGAAACGUGAUUUAAAUUUAAACUGUUUAGUAAUUGCUUUUUAUACGUUUCAGCAAAUGGACAAGCUGAAAGCUUACGAGCAGCCUGCAUCCUUUCUCUCGCUGUUUUCUCUUUUCUAUAUUUCUACUGUUGAGAUAUUUUGUGAUCCUGAUAUGUAUUUUUCUGUUGUUGUUUUUAGACUUUUCUGCAAUAUGUCAUCUGACGAUGAUGAAAGGAAUACGAUGAUAAUAACAUUGUUCAACAAAGGCUUAAAACAAAAGGAAAUCAGCUGUGUACUCAAUUCAUAUGGGCAUAAAAUAAGUGAGAGGCAUCUGAGACGAGUUUUAAAACUUCUAGGGUUGAAGCGAAGAUGCCCCCAACGACCUUUUACUGAAAUCACGUUUCACCACCACUGUCGCUAGCUAGAACGAAUUGGCCAGACAAGAAUAGUGCUGAUUUGGUUUCGUACAAAACUAGAUUUCCUUCUUUGAUAUGUAACUUUCACAACAUAACCGCAACUUAAUAUCACACAACUGUGGCAAAAAUAUGAACAAAAGGGAGAAAAAGUUAAACUUACCUUGUGUCGUUAGGAGCCUGGACCGCGGUAAAACUCCGGUGAGGUCAAUGACCUUGCGCUCUCCCACUGUCACACGUUGAUGACGUAUUUGGAAAUCAAUUCGGAUGGGACAUGACAACAGCGCCACCUGCAGGAAGAUUUUCUGAGACCUGACAUUUUUCCGUCUGAGUCUGAGAC